GUAGGUGGCAAGCGUUGUCCGGGAAUUAUUGGGGCGUAAAGCGCGCGCAGGCGGUUCUUUAAGUCUGAUGUGAAAGCCCACGGGCUCAACCGUGGAGGGUCAUUGGAAACUGGAGAACUUGAGUACAGAAGAGGAAAGCGGAAUUCCACGUGUAGCGGUGAAAUGCGUAGAGAUGUGGAGGAACACCAGUGGCGAAGGCGGCUUUCUGGUCUGUAACUGACGCUGAGGCGCGAAAGCGUGGGGAGCAAACAGGAUCAGAUACCCUGGUAGUCCACGCCGUAAACGAUGAGUGAUAAGUGUUAGGGGGUUUCCGCCCCUUAGUGCUGCAGCUAACGCAUUAAGCACUCCGCCUGGGGAGUACGGCCGCAAAGGCUG
rnacentral:rRNA from 1 species